GACAGAGGGGGCAAGCGUUGUUCGGAAUUACUGGGCGUAAAGCGCGCGUAGGCGGUUUUGCAAGCCAGAGGUGAAAUGCCUGAGCUCAACUCAGGAAUGGCCUUUGGGACUGCGAGGCUUUGAGGACUGGAGAGGUGAGUGGAAUUCCCAGUGUAGAGGUGAAAUUCGUAGAUAUUGGGAAGAACACCGGUGGCGAAGGCGGUUUUCUAGCUUAUUCCUGACACUGAGGCGCGAAAGCAAGGGGAUCAAACAGG
rnacentral:rRNA from 1 species